UCUCAUCUGGGAGGCUGAGGAGCGAGGCCAGCACCAUGCCUCUGGGGACUGGGAGGAAGGCUAGAGGCUGGCCUGGGUGAGGGGCACUGAGAGGAGCAGAGCACUUGAACCAGAGGGGACAGCCACAUCACCUGGCUGGUCUGUGCCUAUCCUUCUUCUCUCCUGGGGUGACAGCAAGCAGGCAUUUCCUGGGAUUCAGGGCUCCUUCUAGUGACAUCCUCCGUGCUCUUCACCCCAUUUUAUCUACCUCUGCCUAGUAAAUCCCGAGGCAGUGAGUCAUUUUCAGAUGUGUAUGCCAAGCGCUCCAGCACCAGUGCUGCAAGAGGCAGUGUUUCUUCCUGCGGGGUGGUGUCAGCUCGGCACAGAUGGUGCGAAUUCCCAGCAGUGAAUCACCAGGUUUCGUGCAACAGUGUCGUAUUUCAGCCCUUUGAACCAAGCUGACUAGACAUCACCAGCUGUGUGCUUCUGGUUUUCAGAGAGCCUUGAUUUCUUCUUUUCAAAGUCCUUGAUCCUUUUUUCAAAAAUGCUGAUCAUUCACUACUGCAGCUGACACAUACAUAUGCUGGACAGAGAGAGCACCUGUAAAAUUCUUAAGAGAAAGACAAAGGUUAAAGAGAGCUCUUGCAAAGAUUUUUAUUAAAGUGUAAGCAACAUGAAGAACAAAAAUGAUCAAUGCUGCUAAUUACACAUCUUCUGAUGACUUUGACAUCCUUAGAAAGGGAUUCCUCACCACAACUGGAAAAGAUUAGCAUAGUUUUUGUCAAGAUGACUACUCCCCUAAAUGAUUCAAAUAUUAUUAGAGCAGAAUUAAGUGAUGUGCAAUUCCUGCCUCUGAACCAAAAAUAGCCUGUCAUUUGAAUACCAAGAUGUAGAUGGUUAUUGAUUAUAA